UUGGCACUAGGAGCCGAUGAAGGACGGGACUAACACCGAUAUGCUUUGGGGAGCUGUACGUAAGCUAUGAUCCAGAGAUUUCCGAAUGGGGGAACCCAGCAUCUUUUAUAGGAUGUUACGUUUGCGUGAAUACAUAGCGCAUUCGAGGUAGACGCAGAGAACUGAAACAUCUAAGUACCUGCAGGAAGAGAAAGAAAAUUCGAUUCCCUGAGUAGCGGCGAGCGAAACGGGAAAAGCCCAAACCAAUGAGCUUGCUCAUUGGGGUUGUAGGACUCCAAUAUGGUAGUUCUUUCAGAUAGUCGAAUGACUUGGAAAAGUCAGUCAAAGAGGGUAAAAACCCCGUAGAUGAAAUUUGGAAGGCACCUAGGAGGAUCCUGAGUACGGCGGAACACGAGGAAUUCCGUCGGAAUCCGGGAGGACCAUCUCCCAAGGCUAAAUACUCCCUAGUGACCGAUAGUGAACCAGUACCGUGAGGGAAAGGUGAAAAGCACCCCGGAAGGGGAGUGAAAUAGAACCUGAAACCGUGU
rnacentral:rRNA from 1 species